GUAAGCGUUGUGCCGUUUGCGCAAAGCGCGCCCCCGUGCGAGGCGGGGGUGUACGUAAUCGACCGUGACGCGUGAACAUACACCGUUUUAUUAUAUACGAAACCACAAUUUGAUUUAGGUUCUUUUCGUUUCUGUUGGAUUAUGCUGAUAAAAAAUGUGUUCAGCUAAGGAGUACGUAAUGAGCACAACCAAAACAAAUGUGGUUCAUUGUUGUAAUCUCGGCAAAAAUGAUUGACCCGUGCCGUAAUACUUUGUUAAAUUGCAAUGAUUAUCCACCAUGGUAGUCUGAAUCACUCUUUACGAACUCCUACUGAACUACUGUACUUUGGUAUCGUAACCUAAAAGAAGGUUUCCCAAGACUAUGAGAAUCCAGGCGGCUACGAUUUAUUCAUCCUUUACCGCAGGGACGAUUUGCCGAUAAAAUGUAACGAUGAUCAACCUAAAACGGACGGAACAAGAGCCCGUCAGUAGCAAACAUGGGAUUGUAUUCUUGAACGUUUAUUUUCCGUUUUCGGCUGAACAAUGCUGCAACUACUUUAGUGAAUUAUUGAUUUUUAUAAUUCUACAGAGGAUCAAAUAGUCGUUCUGAUGAUAGAAUCAAUACAUUUUCCAACUCGUGAUAUUUGUUUUGUGUUAUUGGUAGUAGGUAUUUAAAAGAAGUUGAAUAGAUACUAUUCACGGUCACAAAGAAUUCUAGAAAUAUACUCAAACAGUCGAACUUAGAUUUUUCGACUUCAUAUAAAAAACACUAUCCAUUGCAAUCUCAUCAACACUAUCAGAUGGAAGUCGAAAAAUAUAAAUUGAUAGUUUGCAAAUGUUUUGUUCUUGAGAAAUGUUAUGUUCAUGAGAAAAAAAGAUUGUGAAAAAUUCCCGAAACCGAUUGGUUAAACGGGAACAUGAUAAGUACAACAAAAGGGGUUAUUAAAGAAAAUAAGUAAUUUGAAAAACGCAAUACUUUUGCACGAACUAAAAGUUACACAACCGAUUAUUGCUUUCCUAUUAAAAAAAAAUUAGGAUUAAAACAAUAGAUUUAAUGUUAGAAGUAUUUGAUUAAAAACCAAUGAUCACAAAUCAGUUAAUACUGUAAUUGCCAAGAAGAUUGCUGUAGUCGUAAAAAUAUUUCGAAUGGUAAGGAGCUUUCACAUAAACAUUAUUCAACAUGCAAGGGAUUUCUAUAACGUAGCUCUUAAGUAUUAUAUCAAAUCAAACAUUUGGAAAAUAAAUGCGCGUGAUUAUU